GACGAACGCUGGCGGCGUGCUUUACACAUGCAAGUCGAACGGCAGCGGGGGCUUCGGCCUGCCGGCGAGUGGCGAACGGGUGAGUAAUGCAUCGGAACGUACCCAGUUGUGGGGGAUAACGUACCGAAAGGUACGCUAAUACCGCAUAAGACCUGAGGGUGAAAGCGGGGGAUCGCAAGACCUCGCGCGACUGGAGCGGCCGAUGUCUGAUUAGCUAGUUGGUAGGGUAAAGGCCUACCAAGGCGACGAUCAGUAGCUGGUCUGAGAGGACGACCAGCCACACUGGGACUAAGACACGGCCCAGACUCCUACGGGAGGCAGCAGUGGGAAUUUUGACAAUGGGCGAAAGCCUGAUCCAGCAAUGCCGCGUGUGCGAAGAAGGCCUUCGGGUUGUAAAGCACUUUUGUCAGGGAAGAAAUCUUUUAGGCUAAUACCCUGGAAGGAUGACGGUACCUGAAGAAUAAGCACCGGCUAACUACGUGCCAGCAGCCGCCGCAG
rnacentral:rRNA from 1 species